AGAGUUUGAUCAUGGCUCAGAUUGAACGCUGGCGGCAUGCCUUACACAUGCAAGUCGAACGGCAGCACGGGGGCAACCCUGGUGGCGAGUGGCGAACGGGUGAGUAAUGCAUCGGAACGUACCCGGAAGUGGGGGAUAACGUAGCGAAAGUUACGCUAAUACCGCAUAUUCUGUGAGCAGGAAAGCGGGGGAUCGCAAGACCUCGCGCUUCCGGAGCGGCCGAUGUCGGAUUAGCUAGUUGGUGGGGUAAAGGCCUACCAAGGCGACGAUCCGUAGCGGGUCUGAGAGGAUGAUCCGCCACACUGGGACUGAGACACGGCCCAGACUCCUACGGGAGGCAGCAGUGGGGGAAUUUU
rnacentral:rRNA from 1 species